GCGGGGGUCGCCCAGCCAGGUCAAAGGCGCAAGGUUGAGGGCCUUGUCUCGUAGGAGUUCGCGUGUUCGAAUCACGUCCCCCGCA
rnacentral:tRNA from 1 species